GCGCAGCUGAUGCAGCGACGCCGCGUGCGGGAUGGAGGCCUUCGGGUUGUAAACCGCUUUUGUUCAAGGGCAAGGCACGGUUUCGGCCGUGUUGAGUGGAUUGUUCGAAUAAGCACCGGCUAACUACGUGCCAGCAGCCGCGGUAAUACGUAGGGUGCGAGCGUUAUCCGGAUUUAUUGGGCGUAAAGGGCUCGUAGGCGGUUCGUCGCGUCCGGUGUGAAAGUCCAUCGCCUAACGGUGGAUCUGCGCCGGGUACGGGCGGGCUGGAGUGCGGUAGGGGAGACUGGAAUUCCCGGUGUAACGGUGGAAUGUGUAGAUAUCGGGAAGAACACCAAUGGCGAAGGCAGGUCUCUGGGCCGUCACUGACGCUGAGGAGCGAAAGCGUGGGGAGCGAACAGGAUUAGAUACC
rnacentral:rRNA from 1 species